UACGAAGGGUGCAAGCGUUACUCGGAAUUACUGGGCGUAAAGCGCGUGUAGGCGGCCCGAUAAGUCCGCUGUGAAAGUCCAGGGCUCAACCCUGGGAUGCCGGUGGAUACUGUCGGGCUCGAGUCCGGAAGAGGCGAGUGGAAUUCCCGGUGUAGUGGUGAAAUGCGUAGAUAUCGGGAGGAACACCAGUGGCGAAGGCGACUUCCUGGCCUGUUCUUGACGCUGAGGCGGCGAAAGCUAGGGUAGCAAAC
rnacentral:rRNA from 1 species